AAUUUGUCUCCAAAAGCAACUUAAAUUUUCUAUACUAUAGCUGUCAAAAUGCCAAAUCAUAUAUUUGCUUGUACUCAUCCACAAAGUGUACAUCAAGGCCUUCCUUGACAUUAGGAGCAAGCUCGUCAAAAUCUCUUCGAUUAGCUGAAGGGAAUAUUAUAGUUUUCACAUCACUUCGCCGUGCUGCUAUGGAUUUCUCCUUGACCCCGCCGAUAGGAAGAAUUUUUCCAGUUAGCGUGACUUCCCCGGUCAUUGCCAGGUAAGGUUUAACAGGCUUUUUCAUGGCAAGAGACAACAAGGAUGUUAUCAUGGUACAACCAGCACUAGGGCCAUCCUUAGGGGUAGAACCCGCAGGAACAUGAAGAUGAAGCUUACUAUUUGCAAAGAAGUGGUUAUCAGGCUCCUUCUCCAGCAAAAUGAUCCUGGCAACCGUAUGGGCAAUUUGGGCACUUUCUUUCAUA
rnacentral:misc_RNA from 1 species